UCUUGGAGCUCUAGUUCACCUCUCUGGUGUUGUUCUUGUAUUCAUCUGAUUAAUCUAGUUCUUGCCAGUUCUUCUUCAACUUCUUGGUAGAUAUCAAGUCUGUAUUCUGUGUCCGUGACAGUUUGUCGAGACUUCACUCACCUCAGAUAUCAGAGCUAAUUUCUUCUUUAAUAGAGUGAGGAUUACCCCUCUGCUUGGAAGUGUACUAGUACUUUAGAGGUUGCGGAUUACCCUCCUCUAAACUGAUACUUCUUUUGUUAUAAUAUUGGAG
rnacentral:lncRNA from 1 species